UGUAGUUAACACCACACCACUGUUUUUGCCGAAUUCUCACGCUAGUGUCUGUCUUGGUCGGAGAAAGCCCCCAACUCCAAACCCUCACCUCUCUCAGGCUUUUCCGCCAUUGGAGAACCUUGAAAAACUUCACUAUUUUUCUCUAUCAACUACUCUCACUCCAAUUUGACCUUCCAAGAGGCUCUCUAGUUGGGAGGCUGUCCGUACAGUACCGUUGAAGUCCUGUAGCCCUCUCCUUCUCAUAACUUAGCCUCAAAGGUACCACCUAUAGAUUGUGUCUCUGCAAUCUACACGGUUUUGUCGCGGAGGCGUGGGCAAGUCACUGCUGAUGUUCCUCAACCUGGAACCCCAGCUUAUAUUGUCAAGGCAUUUUUACCUGUGAUCGAAUCAUUUGGCUUUGAGACAGACCUGAGGUAUCAUACCCAAGGCCGGGCAUUCUGCCUCUCUGUGUUCGAUCAUUGGGCAAUAGUACCCGGUGACCCUCUUGACAAGAGUAUAGUUUUAAGACCACUUGAGCCUGCACCCAUUCAACACCUGGCUCGUGAGUUUAUGGUGAAGACAAAACGUAGAAAGGGAAUGAGCGACGAUGUGAGCAUCAACAAGUUUUUCAAUGAGGCCAUGGUGGUAGAGCUAGCUCAGCAGGCAGCUGAUCUUCAUCCACAAAUGAUUUAAAUGGGAAGACCGUAGGCUCCAAUGGAAGGAGAUGUGUUUUUUUUAGUAGUCAUUGGUGUACUCUUAUUGAAGCUAUGAAUGCCUUUCUUUUUAGUUUCUCCAACAUGACAAUUUCCUCACAAAUUCCUAUUACUAGAGAAAGGAAAAGCAGGGGAAAAAAGGUUAAGAACUUGUAGAUGUUGAAUUAUGAAAUGUUUUUUAUUUAUUUAUUUUUUUUAUAGAAAAUUAUGCUAUGGUUAUCUGGUGUUUUGUUUGGGUUCUCUUGCAGCAUUUUAGUGCAAUAUUGAAGGAAUUUCCUGGCA